rfam:Triticum aestivum genome assembly, contig: Triticum_aestivum_CS42_TGACv1_scaffold_030407_1BL
CUAGUACUCCCUCCGUCCGAACAUACUUGUCAUCAAAAUGGAUAAAAAGAGAUGUAUGUAGAACUAAUAUAUGUCUAGAUACAUCCUUUUUAAUUCAUUUUGAUGACAAAUAUUUCCGGACGGAGGGAGUACAAA